AUGGUCAGGGCAGAUGGUGGUGGCCUUUCGCGGUCGCCUGAAAAGGGAACCGGGUGAAAGACCCGGGCUGCCCCCGCAACUGUAAGCGGAGAGCGGACCGACAGAUGCCACUGGCCCGAUGGGCUGGGAAGGCUCGGUCCCGCGAUGAUCCGCAAGUCAGGAGACCUGCCAUCUGAAUUGAAAUCGCC
rnacentral:ncRNA from 1 species